UCGGAAAAGAAUCAAUAGAAGGAGAAUCGGACGAUAUCUUUCUCGAAACAAACAAAAAGGAAAAGAAAGAGAAAACAGAAAUCAUGAUCAACUAAGCCCUCUCGAGGGCUUGCUUAAGAAUAAGAAAGAAGAAUCUUAUGGAAAUAGCUAGGUGUUGUGCGACUCGACCCGUGCAGAGCUGUAGCUAACGCGUUAAGUAUCCCGCCUGGGGAGUACGUUCGCAAGAAUGAAACUCAAAGGAAUUGACGGGGGCCCGCACAAGCGGUGGAGCAUGUGGUUUAAUUCGAUGCAAAGCGAAGAACCUUACCAGGGCUUGACAUGCCGCGAAUCCU
rnacentral:ncRNA from 1 species